AUACGUAGGGUGCGAGCGUUGUCCGGAAUUACUGGGCGUAAAGAGCUCGUAGGUGGUUUGUCGCGUCGUCUGUGAAAUUCCGGAGCUUAACUCCGGGCGUGCAGGCGAUACGGGCAUAACUUGAGUACUGUAGGGGAGACUGGAAUUCCUGGUGUAGCGGUGAAAUGCGCAGAUAUCAGGAGGAACACCGGUGGCGAAGGCGGGUCUCUGGGCAGUAACUGACGCUGAGGAGCGAAAGCAUGGGUAGCGAACAGGAUUAGAUACCCUGGUAGUCCAUGCCGUAAACGGUGGGCGCUAGGUGUAGGGGUCUUCCACGACUUCUGUGCCGUAGCUAACGCAUUAAGCGCCCCGCCUGGGGAGUACGGCCGCAAGGCUAAAACUCAAAGGAAUCGACGGGG
rnacentral:rRNA from 1 species